rnacentral:rRNA from 1 species
CCUACGGGCGGCAGCAGUGAGGAAUAUUGGUCAAUGGGCGAGAGCCUGAACCAGCCAAGUCGCGUGAGGGAGUACUGCCCUAUGGGUUGUAAACCUCUUUUGUCGGGGAGCAAAAGCCGGACGUGUCCGUCUGUGAGAGUACCCGAAGACAAAGCAUCGGCUAACUCCGUGCCAGCAGCCGCGGUAAUACGGAGGAUGCGAGCGUUAUCCGGAUUUAUUGGGUUUAAAGGGUGCGCAGGCGGAUUUUUAAGUCAGCGGUCAAAUCAUGGGGCUCAACCCCAUCCAGCCGUUGAAACUGGGGGUCUAGAGGGUGCGGGAGGUAGGCGGAAUGCGUGGUGUAGCGGUGAAAUGCAUAGAUAUCACGCAGAACCCCGAUUGCGAAGGCAGCAUACCGGUGCACAACUGACGCUCAGGCACGAAAGCGUGGGUAUCGAACAGGAUUAGAUACCCCAGUAGUC